rnacentral:tRNA from 1 species
GGGCGCUUAGCUCAGCUGGUUAGAGCAAUUGACUUACAUUCAAUAGGUCAGGGGUUCAAGUCCUCUAGCGCCCA